AGUGAACGCUGGCGGCGUGCUUAACACAUGCAAGUCGAACGAGAACGGCUCUAGCUUGCUAGAGUGUCAGCUAAGUGGCGGACGGGUGAGUAAUGUAUAGCUAAUGUGCCCCUUAGAGAGGGAUAACAGUUGGAAACGACUGCUAAUACCUCAUACUCCUUCUAAACCUAAGUUUAGUCGGGAAACGUUUUUUCGCUAAGGGAUCGGGCUAUAUGGUAUCAGCUUGUUGGUGAGGUAACGGCUCACCAAGGCUAUGACGCCUAGCUGGUCUGAGAGGAUGAUCAGCCACACUGGAACUGAGACACGGUCCAGACUCCUACGGGAGGCAGCAGUGGGGAAUAUUGCACAAUCGGGGGAAACCCUGAUGCAGCAACGCCGCGUGGAGGAUGACGCAUUUCGGUGUGUAAACUCCUUUUAUAUAGGAAGAUAAUGACGGUACUAUAUGAAUAAGCACCGGCUAACUCCGUG
rnacentral:rRNA from 1 species